CAUUAGAUGGCCGAAACUCCUAAGCAAUGGUCUCUUAAACCAAAUCAUGAUAUAUUUAUCUCUAAUGA
rnacentral:tRNA from 1 species